AGUCGAGCGGCAGCGACAACAUUGAACCUUCGGGGGAUUUGUGGGCGGCGAGCGGCGGACGGGUGAGUAAUGCCUGGGAAUAUGCCCUGAUGUGGGGGAUAACUAUUGGAAACGAUAGCUAAUACCGCAUAAUCUCUUCGGAGCAAAGACGGGGGGACCUUCGGGCCUCUCGCGUCAGGAUUAGCCCAGGUGGGAUUAGCUAGUUGGUGGGGUAACGGCUCACCAAGGCGACGAUCCCUAGCUGGUCUGAGAGGAUGAUCAGCCACACUGGAACUGAGACACGGUCCAGACUCCUACGGGAGGCAGCAGUGGGGAAUAUUGCACAAUGGGGGAAAACCCUGAUGCAGCCAUGCCGCGUGUAUGAAGAAGGCCUUCGGGUUGUAAAGUACUUUCAGCAGUGAGGAAGGGGUGUACGUUAAUAGCGUAUAUCUUUGACGUUAGCUGCAGAAGAAGCACCGGCUAACUCCGUG
rnacentral:rRNA from 1 species